rnacentral:rRNA from 1 species
UACGAAGGGGGCUAGCGUUGUUCGGAAUUACUGGGCGUAAAGGGCGCGUAGGCGGCUUCGAUAGUCGGGUGUGAAAUGCCUGGGCUCAACCCAGGAAUUGCACUCGAAACUCCGAGGCUUGAGUGUGGGAGAGGUUGGUGGAAUUCCCAGUGUAGAGGUGAAAUUCGUAGAUAUUCGGAAGAACACCAGUGGCGAAGGCGACUUACUGGACACAUAUUGACGCUGAGGUGCGAAAGCGUGGGGAGCAAACAGG